AAUGGGUGCUGGAGGGUGCUUUCCUGGCCGUUCCAAGCUUUUCAGUUCUGGUCACCAUCAGAGAUGAGUGUGUUGAAGCAUUUGGGAUCUGAUCCAUCGUAACACUUCAGAUAAUCCUGAAAUAGCUAAAGAACGUCACAUAAAAACUGUUGCCCAGAGAAUCACAGAUAUAUUUCGGCUGCAAGAUUCCUAUCUGGAAAAAAAUGUCCUCAGAUUGUAAAUGUCUAGCUCUGAAAAUGGUUAGCAACUGCAUGUAAUCUGCAUUUUUAUCCUGCAGAGGAUGAUAGUAAUGCAGACUGACUUACCUGCGCCAGCAAGUGUACUUCUCCAUAACUGGAAGCUAAAUACCUGACUUCUAUUUGGCCAGCUCUUGUGGAGGAAGAACUUUGUCGUUGGCUUUGUCUUGCUGCCUUUAUCAGAUGAAUUUCAGUUCAACAGUUUACAGUGCAGUAAGCCCAUUCAAAUGCUUUCAACACUGUAUGUUCAAGAUUUUCUUGUUCAGGAAAUAUUUUGUUUAGCUGUAUGCUAUGAUGAGCUGAGUCUUCAGGGAAGAAGGAGUCUUCAGGGAAAUCUACAGAGAGAAAAUUCAAACAUUUUUCUUGGGCACAUCUGUUAUUGCAGGAGCAAUACAAAAUUAGAGUUCAUUAUGGUGAUCCAGUCUCUCCUUUUGUCUUGAUUGGAGACACAGUAAGCUCUUUGCCAGAAAUGUCGACUUUCCUGAACAAGCAUUUCAAGGCUCGCAAGCUAUCUGUUGUUUUCUCAGUAGGCUAAUGAGGGUGGAUUAGCGUCCAUCAGAUGUAUCCUAGGAAUGAGCCAAAAGCUGAAGGGAAAGAUAAAUUGCAGUGCCAAAGAACUUCCACCUCUGCAGGGACUGACAUGAGACACAAGAUUGCUUCUGAUUUGGGAGCCUCAGCAUGUGCAGUUUGUACAAGUCUCACCAUUUGCUUGAUCUUCACAUGCAGAGCAGCUGAAAAUGAUGGGAACAUGAAGGUGGCCAAGCUCAUCACAGUAGACUGCAAACUGAUUGAAGCCUCUGAGGAGGGUCAUUUCUGAGCCACUGAAGAGAGACAGCUAUGAAAAGAGUCCAAUGCAAACAAGUCUGUAUCGAAUGAAAAAUUUCCAUGAAAGAAGUACUAAUGCUUAUUGGAGAAAUAAUGGUUAAAAUUCAUGUAGACACUCCUCUCCAAAUGCAGAAAACCCCAUCAAAAUCUGAAGCUAUCCAAGAGAAAGUGUUAUAGCCCUCAGGAAAAAGGGUAGCAUGGAUUUAAUUGAAAAAUAAAGCUGAAUCUCAUCUACUUUUGAGAGAUAAUGGUGCAAUUACCUGAGUCUUGCAGCUGGCUGAUGUUUUCCACGCAAAUGUGAAGUGUUUUCAUAAAGAUUUUGUGCUGCGACUAAUUAUCUUCAGGAAAUAGCCUUGCUGUAAUUGGCAGCCUAAAAUGGAGUUAUUUAAGAAGGUCUUCGUGGGACAGCAAGCUUCCCUAGUGGAGAAAUUUAAGGUUGCUGAAAAGAUGACCAUCUUCUGGAAGGCCACCAAGAAAGUUUCAGGUCCCCUGAAGAACAGAAAUUUCCACAGCAAAUAUAAAGGAACUGCAAUGCUGCCAUCUUGCAUCCAUAUCUCAACAAAGGAAAACUAGAUUGAAUUAUUAUUGAAAGAAAAUACGAAGUUAAGAAUUCUAUUUUACAAGAAGUUUACUGUCACUUCUGUAGUCACAGAAAAAUAACUAUUGGUGACUUCAUUCAAUCAAAUAAUUUUUGAAUGAUUUAGCUCUCCAGGAAACAUCUAAACAUAAUGCAUUUCACACAGUAUGUUGUUAUGUGUAUACUAAAUGGUUGGCUCAUCUUCAACAAGACAAUUAUAAUAAAAACUUUAACCAGUUCCUUAGUUACAAAGUUACAAUUUUCAUAAUUUCAUUUCAGUAAGUUAGAAACUAACAAUAAUAAUUAGCCUCUAAAAAUCCCAUCUUUAACUGAGAAGUUGACAUACAUAGAGCAUAUUGAAUAUUCUGAAUUUUAAGUAGAAAUAAUUUUGUAUUCAAAAACAUCUGAUUUUCAAAGUAUACGUCCUAUCUUUGAUAUAGUGCAUCAUAAGAACAUUUUAAAAUUUCUAUAUGACAUUUUUAUUUCACAAUCAAAUUCUUAUUGCAACAUUUAUUAAAGAGCAGUUUAGAUCAAACAAAAUUAUAGAACAAUUUUUUCAGAAUAAGUAGUCUUACCUAAAGGAACAGAUGUCACAGAAUGUUAUUAGUUGUAAGAUCAUUUCCAAUAAGAGAAAAUUUCAUUGUCUUGCUUUCUUGAUUUGGUCCCAUGAUAAAAUAUUUUCUUAAGUUAUGAAAUGAUUUUUAUUUAUUUUGCAUUCAAGUUUAUGCAUCUAUCAACAUUAUAAACUAAAUUAUUGGAAAAAUUACUAAAUUUUACAAAAUGAAUGUUUUUAUUCUGAUAUAAUUUUUCAUAAUUUGUGUUUUCCCAGAAUUUGUAAUUUAACAGCUUCCUCCUGUACAGUAUCACCAUUUGUUUAAACGUGAAAUUUCCAUUUAAUCUGUGUCUUCUGCAUUGUCAUGAAAUCAAGCUAAAAAAUACUGAAAUUAUGCAGAUAAUCAGAGGAGUUUUUUUAUAUUCCAAGUAUGAGUUUUCAUGUAUUAGAUAAAUAUUUUUAGUUUGUUUCCUUAAACUUUUUUGGAUCUCAAAACUUACAUGACUAAUUCUGAUCUUUGGUUUUAUAGUUUCACUAACACUUGAUCAAACAAAGUUUAUGAUUAUUUUCAGUCAUAAUUUUAAAAUAUAUUUGCUAUCCUGGCCCAGUGAAGCUAUUGGCAGUAGUGAUUAUCAGAAAUUAGCAGUGACUUGCCUAAACUGAUGCAUUAGUACAAUUAUUGAGCUGCAUAGUUACUGAUUUUUUUUUUCCUGUGGGGUUAUUUUUUUUUUUUCUGUGCAAGAAAUGUUUCUAAAUUCAACAGUCAGAAAAAUAUAAAAGGAUUUUUUUUCCCCCACCUCAAUAUUUUUUACAUGCACAUGAAAUUGUCUUCUUGGGAAACACGCUGGAUUGCUCAUUUAUCAAAAUUCCCAUUAAGUCCUUUGGGGGCUUUCAAUCAGCUUUCUUGAAAAUGAUGAGCUUCUCAAACAAUUAAAACUUCUCAAAACCAUCUCAUCAUCCCUUUCAUAUUUCUUUUGCCAUGACAGCUAUUAAAAAAAACCUGAGUGAGUAAAUAGCAACAAUUUUAUGGCUAUAAUUGCUACCUACAGGCUGUUCAUGAUCAUUUUGUUGUUUUAUUGCUCUCUUCUUGGGCUUAUUGAAGCCACCUUUCUCACUGCAGUAAGUUCACUUUCUGGCAAAGGGCAGGAGCUUUUCUGGCAUUCAUUCAGAAAGCCAGAACUUUGUUUGUUUCUCCAUUCUAUGAAAAAAAGUAAAUAUUUUAAGGGUUUCUGGGAGUUUCUAGGGAUUUGGGUUUAAUUUAUUUUCUCAGAACCUUUUCCUUAUUCUUAGUAACAUUAUCACUGUUUCUCUUCAGUUUUGCUCUUGGGUAUUUCAAUUGAUGCUGACUGGUCAAUCUGGCUCUGCGUUUAAGUGCUUUGUUGAAUUAGAAGGCUCAGCCAUGUGCUAGAAGUGUUUUCUACUUCACCUUUGUUCUCUACAAAACAUAGUAGAAGAUAAAACAAAGCAAUUUCUUAAUGUUAAAAAUUAUGCAAAUAUAUUAACAAGCAGAGUUUUGAUCUUUUUGCUGUAAUAUUAUUUUUAAGCUCUGGAAAGAGCGUAAAAUGGUCAAAUUUACUAUCUGCAUACUGCUAUCUUUUAAAUACGAUAGCCAAACCCUCCAAAUUACAGGCUGGUUUUAUGAAAGGACUCUAGCAGGACAUAAAAAUCAACACAUUAAACUACUCCGGUUUCUGGUGGAAAAAAAUAUAUAUUUUAUGGUUGUACAGUCAGAGUUCUAUUCUGGUUUGCAUUAUUUCACAAUUUUAGUGAAAGCAAGAGCAAUUCAUUAGAUCCAGAUAAUAGUUUUCUUAGUUAAUCUGCAAGCAAAGCUCUAUGUUGUUAACUUGCUACUCAUAUAAAGUUUAAAACAGCAUUUAGGUGUUGUAUAUUUCUUGGUAAGCAUACAUUAUCAUUUAUACACCCAUAACUAAAUGGAGAGUCUCCUGAACAAACAAUGAUAUGGCAUAAAAUGCCUCUUAUCCUGCUCUGAGUUGCAGAGAACAAAAAACUGAGAGCUCAGAAAACAGAAAUCUUUCAAAAUUUCACAUUGUUCAGUAGUUUUUUUGUUUGUUUGUUUUUGUUAGUCUUUUAUUUUUUUGUGUGUCAGGGGUGAUCAAAGUCGAAUCACCCACUACACGGUUCAAGAACAAAUUAAGUGUUGGCAUAUCUUAUCAGUGUUUGUGCCAAACAUAAAACAACAGUAAUCUUCUAAGGGCAAAUAUUACCACAGUACCUGCAAGCAUUUCAAUUCUCUUCUAGAAACAUAGUGUUAAACAGAAAUAAGUACAAAACUAAAGUGAGUGGAUGAAAGUGAAUUAAGUAGGAAUUCUAAUAGGAGAUAGACAUGAAGUUCAGAUCCUAAGCACUAUUUAGAGAGAGAAGUUGACUAUUUGUAGGCUGGAUAGAAGAAACUGGGAGGAAUAUUCAGAAGACCAAACCGUUUGAGACAGGAGAACAGAUUAGCGAGUUGGAAUUUCCCACCAUUGGCAGGGUCACUUCUAAGGGUAUGCUGCUGCUCCUCAUAACCUGCAAGAUGUUUUCUGUAUUUGAAGCAGAAAGCCCAAAUGUGAUGUUGAAUAUCACUUGCUUAUUUUCCAUUGUGGAAAAAAGCAGGCUGAUGCAACCACAAAUGGGAAAGAAUGAUCCGAUAGUCUGUUUUUAAAGGAAGUUUUUCUCUGAAACUUGUCAUCCAACUCAAAAUAGCUGUUAUAUCUCCCCUGGUUCAUCAUGUGUUUGUGACAAUUUUUUUUUUUUUUUAAAUCCAUUUGCACAACCUUUUUGUGGGGUAAAAUUCCUUGAACAUUUUGAAGGCAGAUUUUGGUAGCUGGGUGGAAAGUGAGGCAGAGCAGUGCUUCUCUUGGCUGCUUGAACUGCAUAUUUAACUCAAAAUGAAUGUAUACCUUCAUGCUUUAUGUCUUACACGUUACUAAAGGUUGCAAGGAUUCAAUACAAGUGACUUCAUUGAAUAAGUGUGAAAUCCUGACCUAGGUUCUGACUGGCAAAUGACACUGGGAAGGCUGAAAUUAAAAGUAGGAAGCACCUGAUGAACCCAGAAAAAGAAUGCAACAAAGCUACUGGGCGGAUUGUAAGCAGUGCUGGGGGAAGCCAGCAACCUCUAAAUAGAAGCAAAGUUUAAAGGGUGCUGAAAUCUACCAUCUUUGCUGAGCAACUGUCAGCACAUACUGUACCAUUGUGUUUUUCAAGCUGAACUCGACAUGAACUCAGAGGUGAUAUCCUGCUUCUUUAAAGUGGAAUUCUGUUUGAAAUGCCUUCACCAAACAUAAAUAAGGCCCUUAAAUGAAGUUUAUAAUAUGGUGAUGACUGAAGAUAAAAAAGGCAACUGUCUGGGUUCAUCUUGCGUGACCUCAAAGCAAUGUUAAGUGCAUACUUAAAGUUUCGUUUUCUCAAAAGUCGUAUUACUUAUUCCUCAAAAUGAUUGAAAAUUAUCUAUGAGAUUUUUUUUCAUUUGAUUUAAUAGGGCAAUAUCAUGACAAUUUAAUUGCUAUUUCUAGUAUUGUACCUUUCUAUUUUCCCUCUGGAGAAAUACUGGACCAAUAGUAAACCACUGCUAUUUAUUUAUUUAUUUCCUGAAAUGCACUUACUAUGAUGGAUUAUAACCUGCUCCCUUUUGAAAAUACUGUUUUAACUUUAAGUAGUUAGAUUUUUCAUUUGUUUUUCAAAUAUUAUUUGAACAGUAUUUCCUAACCUAAAAUUUCUAAAUAUUAUUCUUUUCUUUUUUAUUAUUUGAUUGAAGUCUCUCUUCCAGAAAACAAAAGUAAAUGUGCAAAAAAAAGGUAUUGUACUGUAAUUAUAUGUAGAAAAUGAGGUCAAGAUAGGACUGCACCUUUUGUAACAAUCCUUACUGCAUUAAGCACAAUUGUUGACAGUAUUCGUGGCACAUAGAGAAGACAGUGGCUGCAUAAGCAAUACCGUUUAUCUAUCUGUCUGGAUAUAUGAUUGUGAGCUGAAGAUUGUUUAUUGUCAAAGGCUGAGUGGCUAAUAAAUGCUGGCAAUGGGUUGGAUUCACUGGAAUGCUGCACAGCUGCAGCAUUAGUCAGACUUUCCCUUUUCUGAAUUCUGUAAUCCCUUCAAUAUUGCAUUAAAUAUGUUUUCAAUAUUUAUCUGGAUGAAAAUGUGCUGAAUAUUGCAACUGUUUAAUUUUGAUGUUUGUCACGUAGGAAAUCUGUGUACGGCAGAAAAUAACAAUGUUUUUGCUGCUAAAA